rnacentral:sRNA from 2 species
UGUUGACUAUUAUCUACUGGAGUUAAUUACUGUGCAUUAUCUGUCGCCAAAUAUAACACUUCUGCGCAUGGUGGAAUAAGAACAAUCCAUCUUCUUUCAUUCUUGUAUUGUGCAUUCCCAAAUUACUAGCAUUGUGCUGAUGGUUAUGCGUGGCCCAGUGGUGUUUUGGCCCUGGUUUGGCGUCUUCCGCCGAAUUUCCACCGUACAGAGUAGAUAUUUUAUUAUUAUUAGUUAGGCUCUGUGCACCAUACAACCAUAGACCGUAACCUUGAGCAAAAAGGGUCAGUAUUCCUGGUGUCCCUACCUAUGACGAGAGA